UAGGGAAUCUUCCACAAUGGGCGCAAGCCUGAUGGAGCAACGCCGCGUGAGUGAAGAAGGGUUUAAAGCUCGUAAAACUCUGUUGUUAAAGAAGAACAUAUCUGAGAGUAACUGUUCAGGUAUUGACGGNNNGCAACCAGAAAGCCACGGCUAACUACGUG
rnacentral:rRNA from 1 species